AACUUGCAAACUUCUUCCUAACAAACCAUCUCCCAGGUUGCUUGUUUAGUAAUAUCAAGAUCGAAAAAAAUGGUGAUGAUGGGGCUGGAGAGGCUGGUGGUGAGCCUGAAGACGAAGCUGCGGCGGAGCAUGAUGAAGACCAAGAACAAUUCUUCAUCGUACGACAAGAUCGAGAAGAGCGACAGCAUGCGAGUUGAAAUACGCAGCAAAAAAGCCCAGAAGCUCAUCCAAGAAACUCUUAAAAUUGCAGAUUCGCCGCAAACCAGAAGCUUCCCUUUCUAGAUUCACUACUGUACUGUACUACUCUUAUCUUAAGUCUUAAAAACAUACAUAUUAAUGCUACCAUGCUACUAUAUAUAUAUAUACAUCUUUCAAUCAAAACUUCUCUUCUUCAUCCCCUCCCUCCCUCUCUUCCUCCAUGCCUCUCUCUCUCAACAUAUAGAUACACAUGUGUGUGUGUAUAAAUGAUCAUAAACACCUGGUGUUUAGUUGGUCUGGUAGUUAUCUCGGUAACCAUAAGAUUCCAUGUUCCUUCUUAUAGAAGUUCUUGUUUUUUUCACCUUGAAUAUAAGUUUUAUAGCAAUUGUGUGAUUUCUUGUAAAUAAAAGAAACGUCUGGUGCAUGUUUAGUGGUCCAGGGAAUUAAUUGCUGGAGCUUCAAGAAAGAAACAAUACAGGAAAAUGAGGUUUGUGGCGAUUAAGAAGAUGACGAAUCAGCUGCUGUAUUAUAUUAAUGCUCAGUUUAGCUUUUAUUAUUACCUCUUUCUUUAAUCAUAAACAGCUUAUUGCGUUCAUAGUCAUUCUUUGUCUUUUCCUCUUCUUUCCAAGGCAUUGUAAAUCUUAAGAACAGGUAGGGUAAAUAGACGUCAUCACUUUUUUAUGCACUCUAAUCUGCAUUAUUGAGAUGAAAAAUAUACCCACAUGUUCAGCUCGGUUAGUCACAAGGUGAAGUUUGGAAACAAUGGCCUAAGAUCGAGCCAACGGUAAUGUAGGCACAACCUCUCAAAGUGAGGGUGCACAGUGAGUAAAGGUUUGGACUUGUGUUCAGCUAUUCAUCCUAAAUGCUUCGGGCCGGGACGUGAGGGACCCUUGGGUCAAAAGGUUGAACCCAACCCUAAGGGUACCCUACAGAGCAUCUGGGAUGAUGUAGGUUGAACCCCAACCCUAAGGGUCACUGAACAUGAAUCAUAGAGGUUAGACCUACACUGUCGCUGGUGAGACUUGAUCCCUUAUUUCUAAUUUUCACCUCUAUAACCAGUUGAACUGCUCAUGCAGACAAUAUUCCUUAAAAUCAUGAUUUUACAUUUGAAUAUCGUAUGUUAUUUGUAUUUUUUAAAAAAAUAUUUUUACUCAAUUGGUGUAUAGCAAUCAAUAACAUGUAACGUGAAUCUAACUUAUCAGUUCUAGCUAAUCAUGUGACUAAUAUUUGUCUGAAAGGCAAUUACUAAUUGUGCCACUUAAGGACGCCGGAAACGACAAAUGCUACAGAUACCACGUAAUUAUCCAGAGAUAUAUGUUUGGA